AGUCAUAAUGCCAUACAUCGGUCCCAUAUGUCAGAAAUUUCAAAAAUGCUCAGAUUUUAUUCGUAAGUGGUUCCAACUAGUCAAGUUUCCAUUUCACAUCUUUCCAACAUACAUAAUCACUAUUUCAAACAUACACUAGUCUUUUACAAUUUGUUACAAUAUUACAAUUUAUAGUCUACUACAGAACCAAAAAACUCUUUGAUAAGUAGGGAUUCACUCCUUCGCACUUGGCUUCACGGCUUCACACUUCAAAAAAUUUAGUCCUAGAGCUCCUGUAAAAGAGUAAACAUAAAGCUACCUACAUUAGAGUGUAUUGCUGCUGAGGCCAGAACCAAACAACUUCAAUGGCAACACUAAAUGUAAGUGGUAGAACAUAUCUAAAAAGGUAAACAAAAUAUGCAUUAUGGUACACUUAAGAAGAUGUGAUAAAUGUUUAGCAAAAUUGUUCAUGGGAGUAACCUUAAUCAUUCAAAAUCGGAGUUGAAAAUGCAAGGAAAUUAAGUUACAGAAGACAAUCAGGUAUUCUAUUUACACAACAUUGUCAACAAUAAAUACAAUUCUCUACGAGCGACAAAAUUAGUUUUCUUUACAUCCUUAAUCCUUGCAAGUUGAAAAAAAGACAAGGUAGCAUCAAAUCAGGUUAUAGUUUGUUGGAAUCAAUGCACACAACAUGAACGAACAAAAUAGUUAAAACACCAAUCAAGUAGGCCUCAUCCUCUUUCUCGUUCCAGAUUUGGUGUUUAUUGGCUUAGUAGCUGAGGCAGAAACAGAAGCAUUUGAGGAGGAAAGCUACAUACAUGUGCACUUGCGAGUCCACAUAUUCUGGGUCAUCCACCACACUAGCCACCAUCACGUACCCAUCGCCAUCAGCAAUGUUGCUCCUGCAGCAGCAACAAAUAACCAUUUAUAAAUUAAAUGGACCAGCUAUGCAUACAAGGUUAUCUAAGAAUGUAAGUACAAUCCAGGUAUAAAGUGGAUGGCAAAGCGUGGCUGUUGUUGUUGCUACUUUAGCCAACCGAGCUAAUUAAUCUCAUCAACCUAAUACACUUUUCUCAAAAAAGAAAAAAACAACUUAAAAUAUUGAGUACGACAGCAGCAUCUACUUGUUACUGGAGUUCCAGUUCAAGAUAUAUAUAUAUAUAUAUAUAUAUAUAUAUAUAUAAACACACACACACAGGAGCAAAUUUGAUUACACAAGAAGGUAGCUAGAGUGGUGGUCGACGAAAUGAAAAUCGACGGCCACGGCUCAGCGAGGAGAGGAGCUCAACAUUGAAGCUUCGCAAAACAGGAAUUCAUUAAUUUGAGAGUGGGUUUUAGUAGCUCAAGCGUAGUUAAGUUAAGCACUUAGUAGUAAACAGCAACAACACUUGAACUGUAACAUGUCCAGAAAGGAAACAAAACAUGAGACCAGUAUUGAUAGCAAGUCCACGAAGGCCAUCCAAUGGUUUUAGCCACAUCCUAAUCAACCUGUAGCAUUCUUUAGCACCUAAUUAUCAGCAAGAAAUCAAUGGCCAGAUGAGCACCACCACAACAAAUCGACACUAACACUUGGUCAUCGACGCAAUGCCCAAGCAAG
rnacentral:lncRNA from 1 species